GGGCGUGUGAUUGUAACGGUGAACACUUGGGGUGGCGAACCCCUCGAUUCGGGUUCGACUCCCGGCACGCCCUCCA
rnacentral:tRNA from 1 species